UACGUAGGCAGCGAGCGUUGUUCGGAGUUACUGGGCGUAAAGCGUGCGUAGGCGGUGGCCCAAGUCUGGUGUGAAAUCUCCCGGCUCAACCGGGAGGGUGCCCCGGAAGCUGGGUCGCUCGAGUACUGGAGAGGCAAGCGGAAUUCCUGGUGUAGCGGUGAAAUGCGUAGAUAUCAGGAGGAACACCCGUGGUGUAGACGGCUUGCUGGACAGUCACUGACGCUGAGGCACGAAAGCGUGGGGAGCAAACAGG
rnacentral:rRNA from 1 species